rnacentral:misc_RNA from 1 species
UAUUAUUGUUGUUGUUGUUGUUGUGUGUGUUUCUAGGUGUUUGUGUUUGAAUAUUUGGGGGUUGGUGAUUCUGGGUUUUUGUCACAAUGAGCAUUUGUUCUUCAAGGAGCCGCUGCAGCUCUUUGUAGUGGGCGUUUCUUGGAGUCAUUGAAGAAUUUUGCUUUUUGGGUAUCUUUUGCUAACUUGGUUUCCCUCACAGAAGCUGCAUUAGCUGAGUAAAUUUUCCUUAAAAAAAUUCUGCAAAAAGGCCAAGUUAUUGUCAGCAGAAUUCUGUUAUUGUCAGUGGGUAUUCUUACAUACUAUUACAUCAUUCUACUUCUGAUCAUUUCUUGUGAGUUGUUUCCCUUCUAGAAGCUGCAUUUAUCAGCGCCAAUUUGCUCCCACAAACAGCAAAGUUCCGUUCUUUGUUUGGUGGGUUGCUCUCUUUGUCCUUUAAAACAUUGAAUACUAGGAUAAGAGAUAAUGGCCGGUGGCAGAAAGAGGAAAUUGCGUCUUAGCAAGAUCUACUCAUUUGGAUGCGGCAAAUCAUCCUUCCAGGAUGACCAUUCGCAGAUAGGGGGACCAGGGUUCUCAAGGGUUGUUUUCUGCAAUGAACCUGACAGUUUUGAGUCUGGGAUUCGAAAGUACAUCAACAACUAUGUUAGUACUACCAAGUAUACUCCUGCUACUUUCUUGCCCAAAUCAUUGUUUGAGCAGUUUAGGAGGGUGGCCAACUUUUAUUUCCUGGUUAGUGGCAUCUUGUCUUUCACUCCUCUUUCGCCUUAUGGGGCUAUCAGUGCCAUUAUCCCUCUCAUCGUUGUUAUUGGAGCCACCAUGGUCAAAGAAGGAAUUGAAGAUUGGAAGCGACAACAGCAGGAUAUUGAGGUGAACAAUAGAAAAGUUAAAGUGCAUGAAGGUGGUGGUGUCUUCAAGGAGACUGCAUGGAAGAAUCUGAGAGUGGGAGAUAUAGUGAAGGUGGAGAAGGAUGAAUUCUUUCCGGCAGACCUCCUCUUGAUUUCCUCUAGUUAUGACGAUGCAAUCUGCUAUGUUGAGACCAUGAACCUUGAUGGAGAGACAAACUUGAAAGUAAAACAGGCAGUGGAGGCAACUUCUUUCUUACAUGAGGAUUCCAACUAUAAGGAUUUCAAGGCACAUGUCAAAUGUGAAGAUCCAAAUGCAAAUUUGUACUCCUUUAUUGGAACUUUGGAGUUUGAAGAAAACCAAUAUGCCCUCAGUCCUCAGCAGCUUCUACUCAGAGACUCAAAACUCAGAAAUACGGACUACAUAUAUGGGGCAGUUAUCUUCACUGGACAUGACACAAAGGUUAUGCAAAAUUCUACAGCUCCUCCUUCAAAGAGAAGCAAAAUUGAAAAGAAGAUGGAUUCAAUUGUAUACCUCUUGUUCAGUAUCGUAUUUUUGAUGGCAUUAAUUGGAUCUAUUGUCUUUGGCAUUACAACUAAAGAUGAUUUAGAAAAUGGCAGGAUGAAAAGGUGGUAUCUCAGACCAGAUGAUUCUGAAAUAUACUUUGAUCCUAAUAAAGCAGCGGUUGCAGCACUUCUUCAUUUUCUGACUGCCAUAUUGCUUUAUACCUACUUCAUCCCCAUCUCCUUGUAUGUGUCAGUAGAGGUUGUUAAAGUUCUUCAAAGCAUUUUCAUCAAUCGAGAUAUUCAUAUGUAUCAUGAGGAGACUGACAAACCAGCACAUGCGCGUACUUCAAAUUUGACCGAGGAGCUUGGGCAAGUGGAAACAAUACUUUCUGACAAGACUGGUACAUUGACCUGCAAUUCCAUGGAGUUCAUCAAGUGCACUGUGGCUGGGACUGCUUAUGGCCGUGGUGUCACAGAAGUUGAGAUGGCUAUGGAUAGAAAAAAAGGUGAUCCAGUGGUUCAAGAAAAAAUAAAUGGAUGGGAUCAUAACAAGGAUUCUAACAAUAAAAAACCACAUGUUAAGGGGUUUAAUUUUGAAGAUGAAAGGAUCAUGAAUGGAAACUGGAUUCAUGAGCCUCAUGCUUCUGUUAUACAAAAUUUUUUCCGUUUGUUGGCAGUCUGUCAUACUGCUAUAGCUGAAGAAGAUGAAGAUACUGGGAAGAUUUCAUAUGAAGCUGAAUCACCAGAUGAAGCAGCAUUUGUGAUUGCAGCAAGAGAACUUGGUUUUGAAUUCUGCAGAAGGACUCAAACAAGCAUCUCAGUGCGUGAGUUGGAUCUGGCUUCUGGGAGGAGAGUUGAAAGGACAUAUACACUUUUGAAUGUUUUGGAGUUUAACAGUGCAAGAAAGCGGAUGUCUGUGAUAGUAAGAACUGAAGACGGAAAGCUGUUACUACUUUGUAAAGGUGCCGACAGUGUCAUGUUUGAAAGGCUUGCCCUAAAUGGUAAGGAGUUUGAAGAGAAGACGAGGGAUCAUGUGAAUGAGUAUGCAGAUGCAGGCUUGAGGACUCUGUUGCUUGCCUAUCGUGAACUUGAUGAAGAAGAAUACAGUGAAUUCAAUCGGGAAUUUACGGAGGCCAAGAACUCAGUAAGUUCAGAUCGUGAGGAAAUGAUUGAGGAAGUGGCAGCCAAGACUGAGAGGGAUUUAAUUCUUCUUGGUGCUACAGCAGUCGAAGACAAACUUCAAAAUGGGGUUCCUGAAUGUAUUGACAAGCUUGCUCAAGCUGGAAUUAAAAUAUGGGUUUUGACUGGAGAUAAGAUGGAAACAGCAAUUAACAUUGGCUUCGCCUGUAGUUUACUUAGACAAGGAAUGAAACAAGUAACAAUCAGCUCAGAGACCCCAGAAAAUAAAGCCCUACAGAAAAUGGAGGACAAGGAUGCUGCUGCUGCGGCUUCCAAGGCAAGCAUCCUCCGUCAGAUUAGUGAGGGGAAGGAAUUGCUCACUGCAUCAAGUGAAAGUCCUGAGGCAUUGGCUUUGAUCAUUGAUGGGAAUUCACUCACUUAUGCUCUCCAUGAUGAUGUCAAGGACAAGUUUCUAGAGCUUGCCAUUGGAUGUGCAUCUGUUAUUUGCUGCCGUUCAUCUCCUAAACAGAAAGCUCUUGUUACUCGCCUAGUUAAAACAAAAACAGGUAAUACGACAUUAGCAAUUGGUGAUGGAGCAAAUGAUGUUGGAAUGCUUCAGGAAGCAGAUAUUGGAGUUGGUAUUAGUGGGGUUGAAGGAAUGCAGGCAGUCAUGUCAAGCGAUUUUGCAAUUGCACAAUUCCGAUAUUUGGAGCGCUUGCUACUCGUUCAUGGGCAUUGGUGUUACAGAAGGAUCUCCUCAAUGGUACUAUUUAAUCUUGAAUAUGUCACAUUAUCAGUUUUAUAAUGGGAGAUUCCUUUUAUUUACUUGCGACUCUGGAGAGUGUUUUGUUCAUGCACAAUAAUGCUUGUAAAACUUAGGAAAUUGUUAUGUUCACAGCUGGCUAAAAUCUUGGGAAUGACUUCAAACCGAAAAUUAUUUGCUCCUUUUUCCUGUUUCACCGAAGUUGAUCAGAAAGAUAAAAUUAAAAGCCUGAAAACACUGCUUGAAAUUAAACCAACCUAGCCAAGGAAUUUGAAGUAUUUGACAUAUUCAUUUUGCUGUUUGGCAGAUAUGCUAUUUCUUUUACAAGAAUAUUGCAUUUGGCUUUACUCUCUUCUUCUACGAGGCAUAUGCAUCAUUCUCUGGCCAACCUGCAUACAAUGAUUGGUUUUUGUCUCUUUAUAACGUCUUCUUCACAUCACUUCCUGUGAUUGCCUUAGGAGUAUUUGACCAGGAUGUAUCUGCACGCUUUUGCCUGAAGUUCCCACUAUUAUACCAAGAAGGUGUCCAAAAUGUCCUAUUUAGCUGGCUUCGAAUAUUUGGAUGGGCAUUUAAUGGGGUAUUGAGUGCAACCUUAAUCUUCUUCUUCUCCAUCUCUGCAAUGGAGCAUCAAGCCUUUAACAAAGGUGGGAAAGUUGCUGGCUUAGAGAUUCUUGGAGCCACCAUGUACACAUGUGUCGUGUGGGUGGUUAACUGCCAAAUGGCACUAUCCAUCAGCUAUUUCACUUACAUACAGCAUCUCUUCAUCUGGGGUGGCAUUGUAUUCUGGUAUAUAUUCCUCAUGGCAUAUGGAGCAAUCGACCCUAACAUAUCAACUACUGCCUACAAGGUUUUCAUUGAAGCCUGUGCACCAGCUGCAUCUUAUUGGCUCAUCACAUUCUUUGUACUGAUCUCCUCCCUUCUCCCAUAUUUCACAUACUCAGCCAUCCAGAUGAGGUUUUUCCCCUUGUAUCAUCAGAUGAUACAGUGGAUAAGAAGCGAUGGACAAACUGAAGACCCCGAGUACUGUCAUAUGGUACGACAGAGGUCAUUACGGCCUACAACAGUAGGUUAUACAGCCCGUUUUUCAAAACGUGAGAGACGUUAGGGGUAUUGAUGAAACAUUUUUGCAUAGAUUCCAUUCAAAAUAUGCUUGUAGAUUUUGUUGCAAAGAAAAGCUUCUCACUGUACAUAUGUGACACAGAGCAGUUCAGUUGUGGUGCUUGACAAGAAGGGUCUACAAGUGGGUAUCGUUGGAUGACCUGGUGUAUCUAUACCUUCAAAGUAUUUAGUGUAGAAGAUAGAAUUUUUUUUUCCCCUGUUUUAAAAACCUCCAAACUGUAAUAUAAUGUAAGUUCAAGAAAUGUAUAACAGUACAUCUUUGUAGCUAGCUAGUUUAGAAAUUCUUGUUUACAGGAAUAUCAGUGGCAUUUACCUUGUAUUACAGCUUAGAUGAGGUCUUGUAUUACAGCUUAGAUGCAGGAUAUUUAUGACAUUGUAAAAUUGCCUAAAAAAUGCAUCUGCAAGGCAUUGUUAAUGAGAAAGAGACCCAAUUCUUCUU